rnacentral:tRNA from 1 species
AAGGAUUUAAGUUAAAAAAACUAUUGACCUUCAAAGUCAAAAUUAGGAACGUCCUAAGCCUUA